CAAGUCGAACGGCAGCACGGGGGCAACCCUGGUGGCGAGUGGCGAACGGGUGAGUAAUACAUCGGAACGUGUCCUGUAGUGGGGGAUAGCCCGGCGAAAGCCGGAUUAAUACCGCAUACGCUCUACGGAGGAAAGGGGGGGAUCUCAGGACCUCCCGCUACAGGGGCGGCCGAUGGCAGAUUAGCUAGUUGGUGGGGUAAAGGCCUACCAAGGCGACGAUCUGUAGCUGGUCUGAGAGGACGACCAGCCACACUGGGACUGAGACACGGCCCAGACUCCUACGGGAGGCAGCAGUGGGGAAUUUUGGACAAUGGGCGAAAGCCUGAUCCAGCAAUGCCGCGUGUGUGAAGAAGGCCUUCGGGUUGUAAAGCACUUUUGUCCGGAAAGAAAACCUCCGCCCUAAUAUGGUGGGGGGAUGACGGUACCGGAAGAAUAAGCACCGGCUAACUACGUGCCAGCAGCCGCGGUAAUACGUAGGGUGCAAGCGUUAAUCGGAAUUACUGGGCGUAAAGCGUGCGCAGGCGGUCCGCUAAGACAGAUGUGAAAUCCCCGGGCUUAACCUGGGAACUGCAUUUGUGACUGGCGGGCUAGAGUAUGGCAGAGGGGGGUAGAAUUCCACGUGUAGCAGUGAAAUGCGUAGAGAUGUGGAGGAAUACCGAUGGCGAAGGCAGCCCCCUGGGCCAAUACUGACGCUCAUGCACGAAAGCGUGGGGAGCAAACAGGAUUAGAUACCCUGGUAGUCCACGCCCUAAACGAUGUCAACUAGUUGUUGGGGAUUCAUUUCCUUAGUAACGUAGCUAACGCGUGAAGUUACCGCCUGGGGAGUACGGUCGCAAGAUUAAAACUCAAAGGAAUUGAC
rnacentral:rRNA from 1 species